rnacentral:rRNA from 1 species
AGAUUGAACGCUGGCGGCAGGCCUAACACAUGCAAGUCGAGCGGUAGAGAGGUGCUUGCACCUCUUGAGAGCGGCGGACGGGUGAGUAAUGCCUAGGAAUCUGCCUAGUGGUGGGGGAUAACGUUCGGAAACGGACGCUAAUACCGCAUACGUCCUACGGGAGAAAGCGGGGGACCUUCGGGCCUCGCGCCAUUAGAUGAGCCUAGGUCGGAUUAGCUAGUUGGUGAGGUAAUGGCUCACCAAGGCGACGAUCCGUAACUGGUCUGAGAGGAUGAUCAGUCACACUGGAACUGAGACACGGUCCAGACUCCUACGGGAGGCAGCAGUGGGGAAUAGUUGGACAAUGGGCGAAAGCCUGAUCCAGCCAUGCCGCGUGUGUGAAGAAGGUCUUCGGAUUGUAAAGCCCUUUUUGUUGGAAAGAAAAGCAUUCGGUUAAUACCCGGUGUUCUGACGGUACCCAAAGAAUAAGCACGGCUAACUCAUGCCAGCAGCG